GAGUAUUGCUGCGCUUUGACGCCUUCGGGUAAAGAGGACGACACUAAUUUGGGAACGGAGAACUGCGGCUUC
rnacentral:misc_RNA from 1 species